rnacentral:rRNA from 1 species
CUACGGGAGGCAGCAGUGGGGAAUCUUCCGCAAUGGGCGAAAGCCUGACGGAGCAACGCCGCGUGAGUGAUGACGGCCUUCGGGUUGUAAAACUCUGUGAUCCGGGACGAAAAGGCAGAGUGCGAAGAACAAACUGCAUUGACGGUACCGGAAAAGCAAGCCACGGCUAACUACGUGCCAGCAGCCGCGGUAAUACGUAGGUGGCAAGCGUUGUCCGGAAUUAUUGGGCGUAAAGCGCGCGCAGGCGGCUUCCCAAGUCCCUCUUAAAAGUGCGGGGCUUAACCCCGUGAUGGGAAGGAAACUGGGAAGCUGGAGUAUCGGAGAGGAAAGUGGAAUUCCUAGUGUAGCGGUGAAAUGCGUAGAGAUUAGGAAGAACACCGGUGGCGAAGGCGACUUUCUGGACGAAAACUGACGCUGAGGCGCGAAAGCGUGGGGAGCAAACAGGAUUAGAUACCCCGGU